rnacentral:rRNA from 1 species
UACGGAGGGUGCAAGCGUUGUCCGGAUUUAUUGGGUUUAAGGGUGCGUAGGCGGUUCUUUAAGUCAGUGGUGAAAGCCUCCAGCUUAACUGGAGAAAUGCCAUUGAUACUGAAGAACUUGAGUACAGACGAGGUAGGCGGAAUUGACAGUGUAGCGGUGAAAUGCAUAGAUAUUGUCAAGAACACCGAUUGCGAAGGCAGCUUACUAGACUGUAACUGACGCUGAGGCACGAAAGUGCGGGGAUCAAACAGG